rnacentral:lncRNA from 1 species
GCUCUUCCCUCUCCCAGAAAACUUGCCUCUCAGGGUCAUGCUGGUUCAGCAGAAAAUAAGCAGAAGGGGUGCUGCCCCGCCCCCCUCGAGGUCAGAGCAUCAGGCAGGAGCGCAGGAAGGCCCAGGGCCAGCACCUGUCAGCCACCCACUGGCUCCGACAUGCGCCCCCCACCCCGCAGCCUCCCCGUAGCCCCCAUUCCAGCUGCAGCCACGGCUGCCAGGCUGUGUGAACCCAGAGAAGGAUGCCUGGAAUCUGGGUGCGUCUGGUCCGCAAGCCCCACCGACAGUGUUCCAAGACGUCUCUGUGAGGCAGGCUUCUGCAUGAGAUUUGUGAAUGGGGCAGACGAAGCUGCCUUAAGAAAAGGCAUGAAAAUUACCCACUUGCGUCUUCAUUUUUAACAGCUUCAUGGUAUUUCGACUGGUCAUAAUUUGUUAGACCCUCCACCCCAAACAGGACAAGCUGUCUUCGGAGAGGUCGCUGCAAGAAGAGAAAGACAGAUGAUGCUUUUGAGAGUUUCAGUCACAAUGGCAUGUGCCUUACUAGAAUCAAGUCCAAACUCGAGUUCCCACAGGUUCCUUAAAACCGUCAAGCCUGCGAACACCUCUGCUUCUUUGUCCAUCGAACAUCUGAUGACACUCCACUGCACGAAGAAUAACCAUUUGAUGAAUGACAAAUAAUGACAUUUAAUUCAUAGCUGCAGCUUUUGCUCUCCCAGUGAGUUCAGAACUAGGGACGAACUCAAUAUUCCUGCUCAAAGCAGAGGGUAAACUCCUCCAAGAUGCUGUCCUGUGAAACAUGGACAGUGGACACUUCCUGUGCGGGAAUGGAGAAGGACGUCCUUGGGGCUGGGGUAUUUCCCUUUUGCAGGGCUCGCUCCAGGUGAAGGAGAGGGCCCCCCGUGUCGUAAGCGGAUCCCCAGGCUCACUGCGUCAUCUGUGCCCGGAAGAGUGACGUUUUCAUUGGGCACAUUCGCCAUCAUGGGACUUUCACCUCGGAGGACCGUGAAUUCCAGAGCGCUCCAGAGAAAGUGACAGCUGUAUUCUCAAGGGCUGACUCGUCCAAAGAAAAGGACAGCGUCAGGAAGGAGCAGCAUCGUCAGGAGGCCCCGCUGGUUGACUUUCGCAGCCCCUUCCAAUCCUGAGCGUCUCUGCAGGCAGCCCCUCUCUUCUCAGCAUCCCCCAGCGCGGUGGGGGCACUCCACCGGAUUCUAGAAGCUCAUUCCGUGUGGCCCAGUGGGUGACCUGGCCAAGCCAGUCAGCUCAUCACACACCCAGACCCCCAGACACAAACACACACAUACCCAGCCACACCCAGACACAGAGACACACCCAGACAGAACACAGAUACACACAGACACACAGGUCUUCACAGACACACACACACAUACACAUGCAUACACCCAAACACACCCAGACACACAAAGACCCACACAGACACACCUACACACACACACACAGUUACAGAUACCCACAGACACGCACACAAACAAUUAAACACACUCUCUCUCACACACACACACACGCACGCACAGCCAUAAUGAUUGAUUCAGUGGUCCUUGGCCACAUCCCUUUAGAUGAAAUUACAAGGAACAGGUCAAGGCUGUUCAAACAAAUAAUGCGUUCUCUUCUCUGCCAGAUGGAAGGAAGGAAGCGAGAAGCCCUGUCACUGCUGCAGGUCCCUGAGACCCUACGGCAGCCGACUUUCAGAGAUGGGCCAAGAGGGAAGGAAAGGGACCUUGGUGACAUAGUCGAAUCUUGGAUCAGGACUUAACUGACGUCAGACCUACCCUUAGACCUUUCAGUGUCGCGAAUAAAUAAAGUCCCUUGAUUGU